UACUGAAAAAAAAGGAACGUGGUGCUG
rnacentral:piRNA from 1 species